ACGUCAAGUCCUCAUGGCCCUUAUGGACUGGGCUACACACGUGCUACAAUGGCGGUGACAGUGGGAAGCAAUAGGGUGACCUGGAGCAAAUCCCCAAAAGCCGUCCCAGUUCGGGUUGUACUCUGCAACUCGAGUGCAUGAGGUUGGAAUCGCUAGUAAUCGUGGAUCAGCAUGCCACGGUGAAUACGUUCCCGGGCCUU
rnacentral:rRNA from 1 species